GACGAGAAUGACUUCAGUGAUUUUGGAGCAGUUGUCUUCUACCUUUGAGCGCUGUUUGCCAUUGUCAAUUACCACUGAUCUCAGCAUGGCCUGGCAAGCUUUGGGGCAUCCACUUCACAGCGCUCCUAGAGGGUAAUACUUCAUUUGGUUUCCUGGCAACUUCCUGACUGUUCAGGGUUAUGAAA
rnacentral:lncRNA from 12 species